AUAUCUGUUCGUACCGGCAGCACCAGUUCCCUUCUCAUUUCAAGUUUGACCGUUGUACAGACAAGACGUUCUCGAUUUGUCUCAAUUUCAAUUACUUAUUUAUUUACGCCUUUUGACAUGUGGUUAUUUGCGCUGACAAAAUUCUUUUGUACAUGGACAACUACUGACGUUGAGUCCGAAUCAUGUUCCGAUUUUCGAGCCUAACAACUCGUAUAAGCGUUACAUCUUCCGGAUGAGGAAGCCCUUCACCUCAACCUCAGCUGCGCCUUCGAAUUGUUACUGAAGAUGGCUCGAAGAAUGAGCCGAAACGUUUAAUAAUAAAUUAUGUAUAUCUGAAA